UUCUCUUGUGAGCACAAACGAGUGAGCAGAUAAUAACAGUAAAGGACCAUGAAGACACGGACAAACAGCAGAGGAUAUGAGGAACGUUAUUGGAAAGGUCGGCACUUGAAGCUGACAGAUUUGAAAGAGGAAGCAAAGGAUUUGGAGAACCAAUAUCUCUUAGAAGAAAACAUCCCAUUAUACCCCCGACCAGAGCUCCAUGUGACUCAACUGAAACACGACACAAAGCAAUAUGGAUUAUGUGGCAUCAGAUGGAAAAAUGGCUUCAAGGGCCCACAUGAAGACUCUCUGCUGUGGUGGAGUCUGGCUGUGACGCCUGAUGACAUCACAUCAGCUGAGAGGAGGCUCCUGGAGACGACCUACCCCGACCGGACGGAGGAGCAGGUCCAGAUGCAGCAGAGCUUCCUGGGGAAGUUUGCCACCUCCCCGUCCUUCUCCGAGCUCUCCAGGCUGGGCUCGUACCGCUUCACCUUCCCCCUGGAGGAGCUGCUGGAGGCCUACAGCCAGCAGUGUUGCUCGGGUGCUCAACCCAUAAUGCGGGUGUACGAGACCGUCCUGUACAAAAAGGAAGUGAUGUACGUUAUACUGGUCCACAGCCCAGCCAAUCAGGAGCUGUUCUCAGACCGUCCUCUGCUGACUGACGACCCAAACUCUAUCUGCUCCUACAGAGAUGGCCGCUUCAUCUGGAGGCCUGAGGCCAUGUGUGGGACACACAGCUAUGAGUUGGUCCUGAGAUCUGAUGAAAAGCGGAUGGAAGUGAGGAAGGAGGUGUUUUACCCUGAGUAUUAUGUUUGGGAUCAUGUUGCUGUUGCCCUUCAUGUGGACAGACAGGUGCUGAAGUUUAAUUCAGCCCGACUGAGACAGAACCUCAAGUACUGCAACGACGCAUGUCCUCCAAUCGUGAAGCCUUGGGAAUUUCAGGACUUCCCACAAGCUGAAGAGUUAGUCAGGGAACUGUGGCCUGACGACUCGUCACCACUGGAGAGAGCUGAGCCGCUAACUUAAGUGUCUGUCAUCUGUACUCAUGAAUAUGUACAGAAGCUACAACAAUAACAACAACUAUGAUAAUGAAAUAUGAAUAUUAAUGAAAAUAAUUAUAAUAUUAAAUUAUCAAGCGGUGAUGAAAGGGCCUCUCAGGCUCUACAGUAUCUGCACGGCCCGAUGUUCUUCCUGGUUUGUACUUUGUUUGCUUUUUCUUUUGUUGCUUCUAUUUUUGGACUUUGGAUUCUGUGCGCUAGUUUUAUGGCUUUGUUUAGUCAAGGUAAAGCUUUUUGUUCUGUACCUUCCUGCAUGUGCGUGAAGUAAAAAAUCAACAGAAAACUUGAAACAAGUUAUGAAGAACUUUUGUCAAAGACACAAGUAAACAGGAAAUUCUUCUCAACUGUGGCAUUAGCUGAAGUUUGGCCAACACAUUUUGUUUCUUCUGGGGGAAGAUGCCUAUAAGAUCCUGGGUCCAGAAGAGCAAACUGUAAAAUCUGACAGUGACAUGACAGCUCAUAUUUAUCUUAAUACAACUCACGAUGUGGCAUGAUGUCACAUAAAUAACAUCAAGGUGAGCCUUCUUAAGGAAUGUGGGUGGAACAGUGUCUUACAAGGUGUUACACAAACAGUGAAGGGCAGAAAGUUUGAUUCCACUGUGUGAGUUAUUUCUUCUGGUAAGUGUUGGAAGAGUUGAGCUGCUGUUGGAGGUUUUGGUUCUUGUCUUUCUCCGGCCUGCAGUGUAACAAAGAACCUAUCAAAGACAGAAGGGUCAUCACAUCACUGGAUCCUGCUUUGUGACAGUUGUUUUGAAGUCUAAUCACUGAUGUUUCCCCUCAAAUGAUUGACAGGGCUGAUAAUAUCAUGACCAAACAGGGCCGGUCCGACCAAAUAUCAUUGAUGAGACUGCAGUUACAUUGUGAACUCGAGUGUUUGAACCUGCUCUCUGAAGAGUGUUCUUUCAUUUCCUUCAUCAGAAUCAUAGAUGUAGAUAUGUUGGGUGUUUCUCCAUCAUCUCCCACAGACUUCAAUACCAACUGGCCUCAAAGAGAGAUUCAGUGAUGUAAUGACCCUUCCUUCUUGUUUAGGUUCCUUCCAGUGAAACAGGAAGUGUUUCUCUGUCUGACAGUCUGAUGGGCUCUCGUCUCACUAAUUUACAUAAAGAGUGAUUAAGAACAUUAAGAUCUACAACUCAGUCUGAUCCGCUCCUUUCCCCUCUGAAGCUGCAGUCUGAUUCAGCUGCAGACAGCUUUACCUGCACUUUUCUUUUUCUUUGUAAUCAUACAAAUAAAGAUUAUGUUGCUGUGGCUCAGGGGUGGAGCCAGCAUCUUGUGAUUGAAGGUCAUUGGUUUGAUUCCCCUAGUCUGCAAGUGGAAGUGUCCUUGGGUAACUGAACCCCAAACUGCUCCUGAUGUGCUGGUCGGCACUUUGCAUGGCAGCCACCACCAUCAGUGUAUGAAUGUAUGAAUUACUGUAAGUCACUUUGGACUAAAGCAUCUGAUAAGUGCCCUAAAAUGUAAAUGUAAAAACGUAAUGCCUCCACAUUUACAGAUGAAUAAAAGCCUCUCGUACAGUCGAUCACUCUGUUCUCUUACUGAGAUGAACUUGGCUCGACUGUUUUAACUGGUUGACAACUCAUCAGAGAGACAUUAGUGUGUGAGGGGAGUAGCAGCCACACCUGAUGUGGACAGGUGAGCAAAUAGAUUUGAGCUGUUCAACAUGACCGUCACACCAUCGCUGAUCUGCUUCUGGUUUAACUGGUCUGACUUUUAUCUUGAAGAGUGU
ensembl:lncRNA